UUCAUACAUUUUACAUAUUUUAUCAAGCACAUUUAACACAUUUUACUAUCAGUAUCAUGCUGAUUUACAAUCGGUGUUUUAUACAUCGCAUAUCAAAUCUCCUGACAUGAAUACUGUACGCGUCAGUAAUGCACACAUAUUUAUGGCAGCACAUUCCUAUGAAGUACUUCCGUACAUCGAAAUUGGCCACACACGUCUUUUAUAAAGUUUCAGCCCAUAAAAAUGACGGUGGGGAGAACCAAUCGAUUGAUACGUCUGUCGAAUCGCGGUACGGUAGGACUACUGGACAAGUUACAGUUGUAUUGCCUUACCGCUUCAAACUAUCUGCCAUGCUGGAUCAACGUGUAGAC